CCUGAUGCUGUUGGUACUGCUGGAUAAGCUGAUCAUAUGAUCCAAUCCCAGAAACAGUACCUGAAGAGUUAAGAGGUCGUAACCCAAUACCAGGAGGUCCACCACUCUGAAUACAUAGAGGAAAAGGGUUAAGGGGUCGUAACCCAAUACCAGGAGGUCCACCACUCUGAAUACAUAGAGGAAAAGAAUGUUAGCAUCCAUUAAAACUGAAUAAAAUGCAGCCUCUAUAACACACCGGGAAUUUAGACUUGUUGAACCACUAGCUUGUCCACGUCAAAACUAUAGUUUCCAGUGCAAGUUUUUUCUUUCUUUCACCUCGCAAUAAGGAGGGCAGAUUUCUGCUAUAUUGCCGACCAAUAGAAACCUCUGACUGUCAAAUCAGCUAGGUCAAGUAGGGAAAGAACUCAGGAAGAACAUUUAACACUGGACCAAUCCAGUAUCCACACAAGAAUUAAGAAGAUAGAAGGCAAAUACAUGUUGAAAAAAUCUUCUUUGCAAACAAAAUCUUUCGUUGGAAACUAUGUCGUGCAGAACUACGGGUUUUGACCUUAUACAAUAAAGUAUAAUUCUAUGCAUCAAACGUCGCUGAAAGGCAGAAAAGAUCCACCAUAAAGAAGAAGGGGUUCCCAGGGCCAAACACAAAAAUGAUGGGAUCAUAUCUGGUGGGACUGCACUCUGCAGGCACAACACAGAUAAGAAAGGGAAAAGCUAAAACAUAGUCAGAACAAGGUAUUUGAUAGUAGUAGUACAUUGUAAAUCUGAUCAUCAGCAGCAGAGAGGGUUCGAUUCUCGUUAUACAUGAAGGGGGAAAAAAGAAUAAUUUGGAAGUAGUCUGAAGAAGUUGGGUUACAUAAUCUUUUACUUGACACUAAGGGUGGCAUGUGGGCCGGUUAGGCCCGGUCCCGCCCGCAAGCCCAUAUGGGUAGUGGGCCUAAACGGGCCUACCCGUUUAGGACUGGGACCGGGUGGGGUGUGCUUCCAGGUGAGCCAAUCCCUUGUUAUAGGCCCACCGAGACCGUUUGAGCCCGGGUCCGACAGGUAAGUGGACAGGUUCAACCGGUCCUAAGUGGGCCUAAACAGGCCUAACGACUAAUUUUUUAAAAAGAAAAUUCUGCCAAAUAUGGCCAUUUCUAGCCGUUAUGGCAUUUAAAAAUGGCCUUUUUACCUGCCAAAAUAGCCGUUGGCUAUUUAUAAAAUAG
rnacentral:lncRNA from 1 species